UACGAGGGGGGCAAGCGUUGUUCGGAAUUAUUGGGCGUAAAGGGCGCGUAGGCGGUGCGGUAAGUCACCUGUGAAAUCUCUGGGCUCAACUCAGAGUCUGCAGGCGAAACUGCCGUGCUGGAGUAUGGGAGAGGUGCGUGGAAUUCCUGGUGUAGCGGUGAAAUGCGCAGAUAUCAGGAGGAACACCGGUGGCGAAGGCGGAUCUCUGGGCCUUACCUGACGCUCAGGCGCGAAAGCUAGGGGAGCGAACUGG
rnacentral:rRNA from 1 species